rnacentral:rRNA from 1 species
CGGGUGAGUAACACGUGACUAACCUACCCUCGGGUGGGGAAUAACGACCGGAAACGGUCGCUAAUACCGCAUAAUGCAGCGGCACCUAAUGGUGACAGUUGUUAAAGCGGGGGAUCCAAAAGACCUCGCGCCUGAAGAGGAGCCCGCGGCGGAUUAGCUAGUUGGCAGGGUAACGGCCUACCAAGGCGACGAUCCGUAGCCGGCCUGAGAGGGCGGUCGGCCACACUGGCACUGACACACGGGCCAGACUCCUACGGGAGGCAGCAGUCGGGAAUUUUGGGCAAUGGGCGAAAGCCUGACCCAGCAACGCCGCGUGAAGGAUGAAGUUUCUCGGAAUGUAAACUUCACAAGAAUGGGAAGAAUAAGGGAGUGUUAACACCACUUCCGAUGACGGUACCAUUUGUAAGCUCCGGCUAACUCCGUGCCAGCAGCCGCGGUAAUACGGGGGGAGCAAGCGUUGUUCGGAUUUACUGGGCGUAAAGGGCGCGUAGGCGGCGCAACAAGUCACUUGUGAAAUCUCUGGGCUUAACUCAGAGCGGCCAAGUGAUACUGUCGUGCUAGAGUGCGGAAGGGGCUACUGGAAUUCUCGGUGUAGCGGUGAAAUGCGUAGAUAUCGAGAGGAAC